AGGGAGCGCUGGCGGCGGGAGGAGGUUGAGGCUAAGGAAGUGACCUGAGGCGCGGUGAACGCGGCUUUCACAGGUUCACAGGGUCUUCACUGAAUGAAAGGGGUGUGGAGCUCUGCAGCUUCUACCCACAGCUUCUGCUCAGCCAUCGUGGGAGUCACUGCUUCCUCAGAGUUCCCUCCUGAGAAGCUCAGAACAAAGGAGUGAUGACUGACAAGUUUUAAAUGUCACUGCUGAAGGAGUUGGCUUUACCAGACCUGUCCAGAGAAGUUGAGCUGUGGUGAGCUGGUGUCUGAGGCAACCAGUGCCUAAAGGCCCAGCCUCGUUGUGCUGAGGACUCUGCAGACACAAAAUGAAGGCACAGCCCCUGCCUUGAAGUUCAGUUAGAAGAAAAGGACUGAGGACACUUGAGCCAAAUGGUUCAGAACUUCCUACAAUUAAGAGCAGCCCUAGAGAAGUACCCCAGCACGUGGUAUAGUGCCCUGACAUUCUGCUUCUUAUGGGAAAUGUCAUUUUACAAGAAAUGAAAGAAGUAUAUGGUCUCGGUGCUGGUCCUUCAGGGUGCCUCCAUGUGUGUUCUGCAGGCUCAUAGGGGGAGACACCAAGCUGUCAAAUGGGAGGAGGCUCUUUGAAGUGUGGAGAUAAGGACCCUGCUAACCUUCAGUCAGGUAUGAAAGCCAUUUCCAGCAGCACGGGAGCGUGUCCUUCCACUGGACCCUUCAUGGAAUAGCCCAGCUGAGUUCAUUCAGAUUCCUCAGAGGGGCUGGCAUUGGCAGCUGCAUCAUCGUGGUGCCUUGAGAAAGCACUUCUGCACAGUAUUUCUCAUGUAAGCAAAAGCUCUCAGCACUGAAAAUCUUCCCAAAAAAAGUAUUCCCCUGAGCUGCCUUCCAUGAAGAUGCCCUCAAAGAAGAAGCCUGAGAUUCCUUGGUGCUGUUCCCUCUGUGCAAGUGGGCAGGAAGUGAGUGAUCUACAGGGAGCAAGGAAUGAUCAGUUCUGGGAAAUGUCAUGUUUUUCUCAAAAAAUA